rnacentral:rRNA from 1 species
AUAAUAAAUUGUCUUUUAAUUAAAGGCUGGAAUGAAAGAAUUAAUGAAAUAUAUACUGUCUUAAUUAUAAUUAUUGAAAUUAAAUUUUAAGUAAAAAUUCUUAAAUAAAUUUAUGGGACGAUAAGACCCUAUAAAAUUUUAUAUUAUUUUUAUAUAUUGAAUUAUUUUUGAAUUUUAUAUAUAAAUAAUAAUAUUUUAUUGGGAGGAUAAUUAAAUUUAAUAAACUUUAAUAUUAUAAAUCUAUAAUUAUAGAAUAAUAAAAGAAUUAAUAUUAUUAAUUUUAAAAAUAAAUUACUUUAGGGAUAACAGCGUAAUAUCUUUUUAUAGAUCAUAUUAAAAAAGAUGAUUGC